GGUAAUGAUCAUACCAGCACUUAUGCACCAGAUCCCAUCAGAACUCCGCAGUUAAGCAUGCUUGGGCGAGAGUAGUACUAGGAUGGGUGACCCCCUGGGAAGUCCUCGUGUUGCACCUCCCUUC
rnacentral:rRNA from 1 species